AUUGAACGCUGGCGGCAGGCCUAACACAUGCAAGUCGAAUGGUCACAGGAAACAGCUUGCUGUUUCGCUGACGAGUGGCGCACGGGAGAGUCAUGUCUGGGAACCUGCCUGAUGGAGGGGGAUAACUACUGGAAACGGUAGCUAAUACCGCAUAACGUCUCAAGACCAAAGAGGGGGACUUUCGGGCCUCUUUCCAUCAGAUGUGCCCAGAUGGGAUUAGCUAGUAGGUGGGGUAACGGCUCACCUAGGCCACGAUCCCUAGCUGGUCUGAGAGGUUGACCAGCCACACUGGAACUGAGACACGGUCCAGACUCCUACGGGAGGCAGCAGUGGGGAAUAUUGCGCAAUGGGCGAAAGCCUGAUGCAGCCACGCCGCGUGUAUGAUGAAGGCCUUCGGGUUGUAAAGUACUUUCAGCGGGGAGGAAGGGAGUAAAGUUAAUACCUGCGCUCAUUGACGUUACCCGCAGAAGAAGCACCGGCUAACUCCGUG
rnacentral:rRNA from 1 species